AGUGAACGCUGGCGGUAGGCCUAACACAUGCAAGUCGAACGGCAGCACAGUAAGAGCUUGCUCUUACGGGUGGCGAGUGGCGGACGGGUGAGGAAUACAUCGGAAUCUACUUUUUCGUGGGGGAUAACGUAGGGAAACUUACGCUAAUACCGCAUACGACCUACGGGUGAAAGCAGGGGAUCUUCGGACCUUGCGCGAUUGAAUGAGCGGAUGUCGGAUUAGCUAGUUGGCGGGGUAAAGGCCCACCAAGGCGACGAUCCGUAGCUGGUCUGAGAGGAUGAUCAGCCACACUGGAACUGAGACACGGUCCAGACUCCUACGGGAGGCAGCAGUGGGGAAUAUUGGACAAUGGGCGCAAGCCUGACCCAGCCAUACCGCGUGGGUGAAGAAGGCCUUCGGGUUGUAAAGCCCUUUUGUUGGGAAAGAAAAGCAGCAGGUUAAUACCCCGCUGUUCUGACGGUACCCAAAGAAUAAGCACCGGCUAACUUCGUG
rnacentral:rRNA from 1 species